UUCGGAUUGACUCUAAGAGUCAGGCACAUUAGGCCUUGGGGGAAAGUCUCUGGAGCAGGAGGGCACUAGCCAGGCAACUAGCAGAUGUCUUCCAGCAUCAGGAUGUGAAUGCCCUUGGCAGGCUUCAGCUGUCUGGCAUGUGAUUAACAACCAACUUAGAACUGGUAUGGACAAGGGGAAUCUGACUGUCUAAUUAAAACAUAGCAUUGUGAUGGCCAGAAAGUGAUAUUAACACAAUGUGAUUUCUGCUCAGUGCUCUGAAUGUUAAAGUGAAGAAAUUCAAUCAAGUGUGGGUAAACAGCAAAAGUAACUAUGACUCUCUUAAGGUAGUCAAAUGCCUCAUCAUCUAAUUAGUGAUGCACAUGAAUGGAUUAAUGAGAUUCCCACUGUCCCUAUCUACUAUCUAGCAAAACCAUAGCCAAGGGAAUGGGCUUGAUAAAAUCAGUGGGGAAAGAAGACUCUGUUGAGCUUGACUCUAGUUUGACAUUGUGAAAAGACAUAUCAGAUGUAGAAUAGGUGGGAGCUUUGGUACUGGUGAAAUACCACUACCUUUAUUGUUUUUUUACUUAUUCAAUAAAGCAGAACUGAGCUUUACUGCCCAACUUCUAGCAUUAAGGUUCUUUGCAGGCUGAUCAAGGUUAAAGACAUUAUCAGAUGAAGAGUUUGGCUGGAGCAGCACAUCUGUUAAAUCAUAACACAGGUGUUCUAAGAGGGACUCAUGGAGAACAGAAAUCUCCAGUAGAACAAAAGGGUAAAAGUCCCCUUGAUUUUGAUUUUCAGUGUGAAUACAAACCAUGAAAGUGUGGCCUAUUGAUUCUUUAGUCCCUCAAAAUUUGAGGCUAGAGGUGCCAGAAAAGUUACCACAGGGAUAACUAGCUUGUGGCAGCCAAGUGUUCAUAGUGAUGUUGCUUUUUGAUCCUUCAAUGUCAGCUCUUCCUAUUAUACUGAAGCAGAAUUUGGUAAGUGUUGGAUUGUUCACUCACUAAUAGGGAACAUGAGCUGGAUUUAGAUCAUCAUGAGACAGGUUAGUUUUACCCUACUGAUGAAGAUCACCACAACAGUAAUUCAAUUUAGUAUGAGAGGAACUGUUGAUUCAGAUAAUUGGUUUUUGUGGCUGUCUGACCAGGCAGUGCCACAAAGCUACCAUCUGCUGGAUUAUGGCUGAAUGCCUCUAAGUCAGAAUCCAUACUGGAACAUGGUGAUGUUGCUCCACAUGUUGU
rnacentral:rRNA from 1 species